AGAUUGAACGCUGGCGGCAGGCCUAACACAUGCAAGUCGAGCGGCAGCACGGGUACUUGUACCUGGUGGCGAGCGGCGGACGGGUGAGUAAUGCCUAGGAAUCUGCCUGGUAGUGGGGGAUAACGCUCGGAAACGGACGCUAAUACCGCAUACGUCCUACGGGAGAAAGCAGGGGACCUUCGGGCCUUGCGCUAUCAGAUGAGCCUAGGUCGGAUUAGCUUAGUUGGUGGGUAAGUGCGUCACCAAGGACGACGAUCCGUAACGUAGGUCGUGAGAGAUGAUCAGUCACAC
rnacentral:rRNA from 1 species